CCUACGGGAGGCAGCAGUGAGGAAUAUUGGUCAAUGGCCGCAGGGCUGAACCAGCCAAGUCGCGUGAGGGAUGACGGUCCUAUGGAUUGUAAACCUCUUUUGUCAGGGAACAAAGGGCGCCACGUGUGCCGUUUUGCGAGUACCUGAAGAAAAAGCAUCGGCUAACUCCGUGCCAGCAGCCGCGGUAAUACGGAGGAUGCGAGCGUUAUCCGGAUUUAUUGGGUUUAAAGGGUGCGCAGGCGGAAUGUAAAGUCAGCGGUAAAAUUUCGGGGCUCAACCCCGUCGUGCCGUUGAAACUGGCGGUCUUGAGUGAGCGUGAGGUAUGCGGAAUGCGUGGUGUAGCGGUGAAAUGCAUAGAUAUCACGCAGAACUCCGAUUGCGAAGGCAGCAUACCGGCGCUUAACUGACGCUCAUGCACGAAAGCGUGGGUAUCGAACAGGAUUAGAUACCCGUGUAGUC
rnacentral:rRNA from 1 species